CCUACGGGAGGCAGCAGUGAGGAAUAUUGGUCAAUGGGCGCGAGCCUGAACCAGCCAAGUCGCGUGAGGGAAGACGGUCCUAUGGAUUGUAAACCUCUUUUGUCGAGGAGCAAAAGACGCCACGCGUGGCGUUCCGAGAGUACCCGAAGAAAAAGCAUCGGCUAACUCCGUGCCAGCAGCCGCGGUAAUACGGAGGAUGCGAGCGUUAUCCGGAUUUAUUUGGUUUAAAGGGUGCGCAGGCGGAAGAUCAAGUCAGCGGGAAAAUUGAGAGGCUCAACCUCUUCGAGCAGUUGAAACUGGUUUUCUUGAGUGAGUGAGAAGUAUGCGGAAUGCGUGGUGUAGCGGUGAAAUGCAUAGAUAUCACGCAGAACUCCGAUUGCGAAGGCAGCAUACCGGCGCUCAACUGACGCUCAUGCACGAAAGUGUGGGUAUCGAACAGGAUUAGAUACCCCAGUAGUC
rnacentral:rRNA from 1 species